AUCAUGGCUCAGGAUGAACGCUAGCUACAGGCUUAACACAUGCAAGUCGAGGGGCAGCAUUUUUGGUUGCUUGCAACCAAUGAUGGCGACCGGCGCACGGGUGCGUAACGCGUAUCCAACCUUCCCGUUACUCAGGGAUAGCCUUCCGAAAGGGAGAUUAAUACCUGAUGGUGUUUGAAUUCCGCAUGUUAUUCAAACUAAAGAUUUAUCGGUAACGGAUGGGGAUGCGUGACAUUAGAUAGUAGGCGGGGUAACGGCCCACCUAGUCUACGAUGUCUAGGGGUUCUGAGAGGAAGGUCCCCCACACUGGAACUGAGACACGGUCCAGACUCCUACGGGAGGCAGCAGUGAGGAAUAUUGGUCAAUGGUCGGAAGACUGAACCAGCCAAGUAGCGUGAAGGAUGAAGGUUCUAUGGAUUGUAAACUUCUUUUAUACGGGAAUAAAACCUCCCACGUGUGGGAGCUUGUAUGUACCGUAUGAAUAAGCAUCGGCUAACUCCGUG
rnacentral:rRNA from 1 species